rnacentral:rRNA from 1 species
CGGGUGAGUAACACGUAUCCAACCUGCCGUCUACUCUUGGCCAGCCUUCUGAAAGGAAGAUUAAUCCAGGAUGGCAUCAUGAGUUCACAUGUCCGCAUGAUUAAAGGUAUUUUCCGGUAGACGAUGGGGAUGCGCUCCAUUAGCCAGUUGGCGGGGUAACGGCCCACCAAAGCGACGAUGGAUAGGGGUUCUGAGAGGAAGGUCCCCCACAUUGGAACUGAGACACGGUCCAA